GCCCCCAUAGCUCAACGGACAGAGCAGCUCCGUCCUAAGGAGAAGAUAGAGGUUCAAUUCCUUUUGGGGGCA
rnacentral:tRNA from 1 species